UUUUCAUACACAAUUGUCACCAAAAAACAUCAUGGCUGAAGAAAAGAAACAUCACUUUGGUGGUCUCUUUAACCACCACAAGAACAAAGAGGAAGACACCCCCAUUGAGAAAACUACAUAUGAAGAAACAACCUAUGAAGACAGUGAAAAAACUAGCACUUAUGGAGACAACACAUAUGGUGAAAAAACUAGUUAUGGUGAUGAUACA
rnacentral:misc_RNA from 1 species